CCUACGGGAGGCAGCAGUGAGGAAUAUUGGUCAAUGGACGAGAGUCUGAACCAGCCAAGUAGCGUGAAGGAUGACUGCCCUAUGGGUUGUAAACUUCUUUUAUAUGGGAAUAAAAUGUUCCACGUGUGGGAUUUUGUAUGUACCAUAUGAAUAAGGAUCGGCUAACUCCGUGCCAGCAGCCGCGGUAAUACGGAGGAUCCGAGCGUUAUCCGGAUUUAUUGGGUUUAAAGGGAGCGUAGGUGGAUUGUUAAGUCAGUUGUGAAAGUUUGCGGCUCAACCGUAAAAUUGCAGUUGAGACUGGCAGUCUUGAGUACAGUAGAGGUAGGCGGAAUUCGUGGUGUAGCGGUGAAAUGCUUAGAUAUCACGAAGAACUCCGAUUGCGAAGGCAGUUCACUGGACUGCAACUGACACUGAGGCUCGAAAGUGUGGGUAUCAAACAGGAUUAGAUACCCUAGUAGUC
rnacentral:rRNA from 1 species